rnacentral:rRNA from 1 species
CACGUAGGGCGCAAGCGUUGUCCGGAAUUAUUGGGCGUAAAGAGCUCGUAGGUGGUUUGUUACGUCUGCUGUGAAAACCUAGGGCUUAACCCUGGGCUUGCAGUGGAUACGGGCAGACUAGAGGUAGGUAGGGGAGAAUGGAAUUCCCGGUGUAGCGGUGAAAUGCGCAGAUAUCGGGAGGAACACCGGUGGCGAAGGCGGUUCUCUGGGCCUUACCUGACGCUGAGGAGCGAAAGCAUGGGGAGCGAACAGG